AUGCGCUUGCUGAAGCCGCACCUCGGGAGGGAAAAUAAAAAGCACGUACUACUCAGGAGCUGUGGUGUGUGGCACAGCACCUGCUGCUUCAGGCAGGUCCCCAGCCAAGACCCGUUGGCUGGAGGUGGGUAUGGAGCAUGUUGGGGAAACAUGCAAGGUGCACAGGGAAAACCUUCCCAGCUGAGCCGAAACCUGGUGAUCUCUGAUCAGGAAUCAGUGCAACCAGGACUCUGGUCUAUUCGGAUGGCAAAUCCUGCCUUGUCCUACGCAAAAACUCUGGGGAGAAAUGCUUUUUCCUCCGUCGCUUUCUGGUGAGCACCGAACAACGAUCAGACAUGAGGAGGGUCAGGUCCCUGCUCCAGCUCCUGGCAAGGGGACAGACUCCAUCUGUAGGGUCAGAGCAAAAAAUCAGGCUCUUCUGGGACCUGGUGUCACAGCUCAUCACCAGACCUCAAAUUCGUCUUCCCUAAAUCCUGUCCUCCUCCCCUGCAGCUGUGCUGCUCUGGCAGCGCUGUCGUGACCAAUGAAGCCAGCCCCCUCUUCCGGACAACUGACUUUCUGCACUUGCUUUUCUUCGGUUUUUGCCAGUACAUCCCCCCCAAAAGCAUGCCGUUUUUCAGAUGACUCCUAUGUUACGAUAAUCCAUGUUUUCUCAAGAAAAAAUUUUCUCAGGAUGCGAUCCUGGGAAAUAUGCUCUAGGUGACCCUGCUUGAGCAGGGGGGUUGGACUAGAUGAUCUCCAGAGGUCCCUUCCAACCUCAACCAUUCUGUGAUUCUGUGAAAAGAAGACAUCAUUAGUCUGCAAGACUUCUAAUUUCAUGAUAAGGAGAUAAGUCUCUAGUCAUUGGAAGAGACCAUGAAAUAUUGACUUGCAAGAAAAUGUAACCUCCCUUGUCAAAUAAGACAUAUCCUGAAAAAGAAGACAGUCAGAAAUUCAUACAGCACAAAAAAUCUAGAGGCUGAAUACUAGAGAUGACAUGAAAAAUAGUCAGAACAGCAUAUGCUGACAAAAGGCCUUCAGAUGAGUGAGUUAUCUUUUGAGCAUUUGCUCAGCUGUUAGCCAAGCAAAAACACUGCACUUACUCUCUUCUCCUUCUUUAGAGUUCAGCCUAACGCUUCUGACGCAUUGCUCCUAAAAUGAAGGAAAAAGAAGUCUAGAGAAGGAAAGUUAAAAAAUACUAUAUAACCUACUGCAGUUGUAUUUGAAUUACCUCUUACAGAGACUUUAAAAAAGAACAAGAAAAAAGAAUAUUAUUCUCAAUUUUUUUUCAAGGAGUGUUUCCUCCUUUCCAAAAGAUGACACACUGCAGGGGAAUUCCUUGUUAUGCAAACAUCUUUUUUAUCAAGAAAGGUACUUUCAUCAUCUAUAUCUCAGUGGGCUGCAACAUUCAGAAAACAGGGCGGAAUGCACUAGAUACAGUUUAUGUGCGUUACUGACAUUAGAGGUUGUUAAAGGAUUAAAGGAUGUUUUUAAUUAGCAAUACAUAUACAUGUCAUUCAUAAUUCAUCUCCUAAUAUUCUAAGCCAGUGUAGGUUAAUUCAGAUAGAGCAAUUGUUCCAACAUGCAUUGUGAGCAUUAGCUUUCUUUACACACAUACUAGAGAAAGAUACUUCAGAUAUAAGAGCAGAGGCCCAGUCUUAUUCCCUUUUAUGCUGAGGCUGCAUUCCACUGUAAUUUAAUUACAAUAAAUGGUACAGCAACUUUAAAUAUCUUAGGGAU
ensembl:lncRNA